CUUGAACAGAACAGGAGCGUAGAACAUGAUGACAUUGAUGCCGGUUAGUUGCUGGAAGAAUGGGAUUAAAACGCACAUCACGAGUUGAGGUCUUGGAACUCUUCUUGGACAUCGUCGGUACCACGAACUUUCUGUAGCAUCUUCUUAGCCUUCUCUGCGUAUCCUCUUUCGAGAAUGGAGUUAGGAGUAUCCGGAAGGAAGAAGGCUCCGACGGUCAUCAUCACGGCGGGGACUGCGGCGAGAGCCAAUGAGACUCUCCAUCCCCAUCCGCCUACGAUUUUGGCUGUACCGACAUUUACAAGAUUCGCCACCAAGAUACCGAUUGUGAUGGCCAUUUGGAAGCCCAUGUUCAGAGCACCUCUGAUUUUGGCUGGUGCCAUUUCAGAAAGCAUACCUGAUUGGCAAAUCCAACACCAACACCAAGCAACAAACGGCCAAUGAUGAGCAGUGCAAUGCUAUUAGCAACACCAUUGAGAAUGGAACCAAAUAAGAAGGAAAGACCUCCAAUAAACAUGGAUGGCUUGCGGCCAAAUUUCCGGGUAAUGAUGGACGCGGCGAAGGAAGCCACCAGAGCAGCAAGGUAAAGGGAAGAGGUAAACAAUGUUAGUAGUUCACUGUCAAACUUACAGUACUCACUUUCAUGGGUACUUUUCAUCUUCUUCACAACAGAUGGGAAAAAAUGAGCCAAGAAACUUGGCAUUGAAGUAACCCCACCUGCCAAAACAUCCCAAAGCCAAAAAGUUUUAAACAAAUUUCUUCCAUUAGGGGGAAAAAAAAAACUUUAACUAGAGGAUCGAGGAUCAAAAGCUACUAAACAAACAACCAAACCUGAAAUUCCAAGAUCAUAACCAAAGAGAAGACCUCCCAUGGCAGCCACCAAACAGGUGACAAGUACAAAUGUAGUGAUUCCACCCUCAUAGUUCCUUCCUUCCUGAACAACAAAUCCUCCUCCAGCCAUCUCUGCUUAUUUUUUUCUUAUUUUUUUCUUGUCUUAAAAAAUGUUAGGGAUUACGAAUGUAGCUAGAUAUUAAUCUGUGUAUAAAAUAUGUUUUAUAUUAGUUCUUUCAAGAAAUUUGUUGGUAAUUGAAGGAGAAAAGAUUUCACCAGUGGAUUUUUUGGGGGUCUUUCAGAAAGGGAUAAACCUAUCUAGUAUAUGAUUUAUAUUUAUAAUAUAUAUUUAUAAGAAACUGAUAGACCCUUAAAUCCACUGAGACAAAAGAGAAAGAACUAAUACAAAAAAAAAAUCCCUUAUGUCAUGUUCAGGAAAGAACAGGUCUUAUUCAGCUUCGCCCUGGGGCUUAAUUUUCCCAAGCCUCAGUUGGGUUCUUAUAUAGGGGUUUCAAAUGCCUUCUGGCCUUCUAAAUCGGACGCCAUUUUUAGAACAUUUCCAUUCUGGAAGCUUUAUUCUGUUGAACAGUGUCCAAAAAUAUGGGAUUGCCCCAUCUUUCCGAGGCUCAACUUAGAAAACUUCCUACUAGCCGCUAUUUCUUUGCUCACUUGGUUUGGAUUGUAAACACAAGUUUUCGCAGACUUCUAUUAUUGGGAUAAUCAGAUCAUUAGUAAUCCUUAUCUUCCAAUUAAGAUAUCCAGGAACUGUUGAGGUUCGCCUUCUGGGUUUUGUUCUUUCUUCUUUGAAAUCGAAGUACGAAAGCUCUAUGGUUGUUACUUUACGACCGUAAGUAGUUUUCAGAUUAUGGGAUUUGGUUAACCCAACCUCGUGAGUACAAAUUCAAUUAAUUUCAUUAAGGAAUUAAAGUACUUUGCUUCAUAAUAAUUCUUUAUUUACAAACAUACGUGACUAGAGAUGCUCAGGUUGGGGACAUUUGUUUAAAAUAGAAAUUACAUUAAAAGUGAGACAUUAAAAAAAUUUAAGAAGUAAUUAAUAAAUUAGGUACAAAAUUGAUUUAAUGUUUGGUAUUUUGUAGGCUAGUUUCUUUCUAAUAAAAAAUUGGAAAAAACAUUAAUAGGUAGAGUAAAUGUUACCCAUUUAUUUGCUGGUGCUGUAUUCUAUGAAUUAGAAAAUGAAUUGUCUCGAAAAAAAUUGAAAUCUAAAGUGGGCUUGCCUGCCAGUUUGAGUUUGGGAAUCAAAGGGUCGCCGAGCCAGGCAAUGCUGGCUUAUAAUCCAAGUGGGGGCUCGGAGAUGUAGGUGGGAAGGGGGUGGGUGGAACCUGGAUGUUAGGCCUUGUUUGGUGCGUCCAUCUCGAGUCAAUCGGACUUGCAAAUGGCUGGUAAUUUGAUUACACGGGAAAGAAAGAGAGUAGUAACCUUUCUUUCUCGGCAUAUGCGCAUAUGCUCUGUAGAUUACCAGAGCGGCGCUGCUCGCUCCCAUACAUUAGAACACCCACUCCUUCAUCUCAUCAACAUUUCUUUUAGUAGGAAUGAGAAUUUUGGUAAUUUUCUUUUUUCCCAUAUUAAUUCCCUCAUUUAUUGUCUCCCAAUAAUACCUAUGAGUUUUGUACAGGAGCUGGAUCAACGUGCGAAGCAGGGGGCCGGAUCCCCUGCGCAGUCAUGUAAUCUUUCUGGGAGUUUGGAGCCCAAUCAAUCGGGUCGUGUAGGUGUCUGUCAGGCUUGUUGAAAGCAUCUGGCCAGGCGCAUUCCGAGUUGACCAAACUGCAGAUUAGCAGGUUAUCCUCAUCUCCAAGCUCUUCAUAAUACUACAUACACUCCUCGUCUUAAAUCAAAAAUCAUAUCAGUGUGAAAGCAGAGUGAACAAAGGGGAUUGAAUAGGGGAAUCUUGGGUUAUCAACCAACCAGCUUCCUUCUAAACACAUUCCUGUUUGUAGGGAGAAUGUUUUGAGACUUGAAUCUUGAUGGUACAGAAAUAUUCCAUAAGGAAGCAUAGGUUGUGGAGGUGCGUUUAUAACCACUCUUCACUAUAUAUAUAAUUUCCUUCUUUCAUAUCAUAUCAUACUGCUAUAAUUGCUAAAGAAACGCCUUCCCAUUGGAAUAUUCAGGAUGUUGUUUCUAUCUCUUCUUCCU